rnacentral:rRNA from 1 species
UACGUAGGGUCCGAGCGUUGUCCGGAAUUACUGGGCGUAAAGAGCUCGUAGGUGGUUUGUCGCGUUGUUCGUGAAAACUCACAGCUCAACUGUGGGCGUGCGGGCGAUACGGGCAGACUAGAGUACUGCAGGGGAGACUGGAAUUCCUGGUGUAGAGGUGGAAUGCGCAGAUAUCAGGAGGAACACCAGUGGCGAAGGCGACUGUCUGGACAGAUACUGACGCUGAGGCGCGAAAGCGUGGGGAGCAAACAGG